UGGGGAAUUUUGGACAAUGGGCGCAAGCCUGAUCCAGCCAUGCCGCGUGCGGGAAGAAGGCCUUCGGGUUGUAAACCGCUUUUGUCAGGGAAGAAAUCUUCUGAGUUAAUACCUCGGGAGGAUGACGGUACCUGAAGAAUAAGCACCGGCUAACUACGUGCCAGCAGCCGCGGUAAUACGUAGGGUGCAAGCGUUAAUCGGAAUUACUGGGCGUAAAGCGUGCGCAGGCGGUUUUGUAAGACAGAGGUGAAAUCCCCGGGCUCAACCUGGGAACUGCCUUUGUGACUGCAAGGCUUGAGUGCGGCAGAGGGGGAUGGAAUUCCGCGUGUAGCAGUGAAAUGCGUAGAUAUGCGGAGGAACACCGAUGGCGAAGGCAAUCCCCUGGGCCUGCACUGACGCUCAUGCACGAAAGCGUGGGGAGCAAACAGGAUUAGAUCCCUGGUAGUCCACGCCCUAAACGAUGUCAACUGGUUGUUGGGAAGGUUCCUUCUCAGUAACGUAGCUAACGCGUGAAGUUGACCGCCUGGGGAGUACGGCCGCAAGGUUGAAAC
rnacentral:rRNA from 1 species